GGCCAGCAGCCGCGGUAAUACGUAGGGGGCAAGCGUUAUCCGGAAUUAUUGGGUGUAAAGGGCGCGUAGACGGAUUAGAAAGUUAGUUGUGAAAUCUCUGAGCUUAACUCAGAAACUGCAACUAAAACUUCUAACCUUGAGUGCAGGAGAGGAAAGUGGAAUUUCUAGUGUAGCGGUGAAAUGCGUAGAUAUUAGGAGGAACACCAGUGGCGAAGGCGACUUUCUGGACUGUAACUGACGUUGAGGCGCGAAAGUGUGGGGAGCAAACAGGAUUAGAUACCCUGGUAGUCCACACCGUAAACGAUGGAUACUAGGUGUAGGGGGGAUCGAACCCUUCUGUGCCGGCGUUAACACAAUAAGUAUCCCACCUGAGUAGUACGACCGCAAGGUUAAAACUCAAAGGAAUUGACGGGGGCCCGCACAAGC
rnacentral:rRNA from 1 species